rnacentral:rRNA from 1 species
GUCCACGCCGUAAACGUUGGGCACUAGGUGUGGGUCCUCAUCAACGGGAUCCGUGCCGUAGCUAACGCAUUAAGUGCCCCGCCUGGGGAGUACGGCCGCAAGGCUAAAACUCAAAGGAAUUGACGGGGGCCCGCACAAGCGGCGGAGCAUGUUGCUUAAUUCGAGGCGACGCGAAGAACCUUACCUGGGCUUGACAUGUAGGGAAAAGCCGUAGAGAUACGGUGUCCGUAAGGGCCUUACACAGGUGGUGCAUGGCUGUCGU